rnacentral:rRNA from 1 species
AGAGGUCAGAGGAUAUUGGGCCUAAGCAUCCGUAGCCGGUUCUGUAAGUUUCCGGUUAAAUCCACUAGCUCAACUAAUGGGCUGCCGGAAAUACUGCGGAACUAGGGAGUGGGAGAGGUAGACGGUACUCGGGAGGAAGGGGUAAAAUCCUUUGAUCUCUUGAUGACCACCUGUGGCGAAGGCGGUCUACCAGAACACGUUCGACGGUGAGGGAUGAAAGCUGGGGGAGCAAACCGGAUUAGAUACCCGGGUAGUCCCAGCUGUAAACGAUGCAGACUCGGUGAUGCAUUGGCUUGUGGCCAGUGCAGUGCCGCAGGGAAGCCGUUAAGUUUGCCGCCUGGGAAGUACGUACGCAAGUAUGAAACUUAAAGGAAUUGGCGGGGGAGCAC